AUGAAUUACCAAGUCAUUCACAAGCAGCUACGCAGGCACGUCUCCCCCCUCCUUGUCUUUCUGCCGAACCGAGCUGUGUGGGGGCAAGAUGUGGAGUGUUUUCAAAUCCGUUCCAAGCAGAGCGAGACUCAAAGCUUGCAGCCCUUUGCUUGCAUGUACCUCGCUUGGCCACGGGAGAGUGCCAGAACUAUCCGGGGCGGUGUGUGGCCUACCAACGCAAUGGGCGCUGUUGGCGUGUUCUCCAUAUGUACGAGUAACACGGAUGAUGGUUCCCUGAGAGGUCAAGACUCUGGAGCCAGCCUGAUGGAUGAUCAGAAGUUUGGUUCGAGGAAAGACUCCACCGAAGUUCCUUCUAAGAAACCCAGAGGGACUGGUACGGAUGCUGGUGAUUUACAAAGUACGUCGGAUGGGCAACCAACAUUGGGUGCAAACCUCAGGAAGCCAGUGGGUUCAGGGUCUGGUAUUUUUGGAUCUCCUCAUAAUAGUGUUUUUCCUAAAUCUACAAAAGCUCGCCGAAGACCAGGUUUGGGUAACACUCUCGUACCAUCAAAAAGGGUUCUGCGUACCUACCAGACACAAAAAGAGAAGCAGCCACAUUGGUGGAAUGGAGUCCUCCCAGGUCUCCCACAUCCAUUUUGGUAAGGGGGAUCACGAUUCAUGGACCAAGCUGUGAAUUUUUCUUGUUCUCAAAGUUUUACUCCAAGUGCUCUUUUCAGGAUCGUCACUGAGCCAUGGACAGCUUCCAACUGUUGUUAUUUUGUAGUAAUAGUCCCAAGAAUGGUUUUUAAGAUCUCUUUAAGGUUCUUCAUCAUUCCCUUUGCUCCAAUCACUGGUGCAAUUUCAGUGCUCUUCAACUUCCAAAAUCUUUUCACUUCGUUUUUGAGAUCCUGGUAUUUGAUCAUUUUCUUGAUUUCUGCAUUGUUUAGGCCAAAAUUGCUGGGUACUGAUACCUCAUUUAGCAAUGUUGUCCUUUCUUUUUUUGUACCUAAGUGUACUAUAUUUGAUUGCAAUGGUUUUUUUUUUUCUAUGUACACACUCGAUGGGAUCUCCAGGUCGUACGUGAGCAUUACUUCCUUGUUUUCAAUAAUCGCUUUUAGUUCAUGUUUCCAUCAGUCUCUGAAACUGGGAGAUUUAAUCUUUUUUACAGAUGUGCCAGUGGAUUACUCGAUAUGCGUUGUUGAGCCUUUGUGUGUACAACAGUUCUGACAUGAGGUUUUUACAUCCCGAAAGGAGGUGGCUAAUGCUUUCUGUUUCUGCCUUGCAGAACCGACUAUAUGUGACUUUGUCUCACCAUUUUAUUAAAGCCAUUGAUAUAGUGUCCUUGGUCUUGGGCGUUUAUUAUGAAUUGGUCUCCAUCCCAGUUGAACUGAUCUCUUCUUGGACAUUCCAAUGAGCCUUCUUUGUGCUCAAUGUGUUCAACCUUUUUUUUUUUUUUAGUCUCCCUGCUCUUUUAUCGUUCUCCUAGUUGGUGCAUAUCUGUUGAUAUUUCACCUUUUAUUUUUCUUUUGUAUUUUUUUGCAAUCAUUGGGGCUGUAUUUGUUGCUAUUUAAAUUUCAUGCAUGACAUCUUUUUGCACCUGUCUUUGAAAAUUUUUUUUUGCAAGGGUUACAUUUUCUUUCUUGCUGUCGUUGUGUUUGUAUACAAAUUGGAUUCGGUAGUCUUUUGAACUUUUCACGUAUUCAGCCAGUCCUACAGUUGUCAUUCUCUGCUCUUGGUUGAGCUCCAUCAGGCUGCUACCACCUCGUCUCGACAGGUAAAUUCUCGAGAUGCAUUGAUUUUUGUCGAUAGUGAGUUUUCUUGUAUUGAUUUGUAGGUCAUUGAUUUCCACUUGUGGCCAGUUUUUAUUAUUUCGCAGCUGUAUUGGAAUACAGGCACUUUUGUAACUGUAUUGGAAUACUGUUCAUACAAUUUUUUUUUACUUUAUAACCAUGUUACGGUCUUUUGAGUGUUCAGUCCAAUCACACGAACACUGCUUUUUUGAACAUCCCGAGCUAAGCACUAAAUUCAGGAAAUCGGACCUCGAGAGUUAACUUCCCAUUCAUACCAUAAUUCACACCUCAUUCGCACAGGCUAAGCUCCAGCACUCUUCCUCCAUCUCGGACGCCAUUCUCUCCAUGGGACUCUUUACUGGCACGAGAGACAAUGGCACUCGCCCUGCUUCACCAGAUACCCCUCUAGCUUGUUGUCCCUCAUAAUCUUUUAUAUUACACAUGUUCAAUUUACUGUAAUUUAUUCAUUUUGGAUUUUAAAAUAAAAGUACAUUUAAUAAUGUUUUUAUGUUUCAAAAAAUAAAUGGUUUUAAUAGGGUCUUUGAACAUAUCACGCUGAGCAUGCAGGAAAUCAGGUUCUCGAAUGUGGGAAAGUGAACAAUGUGAAUGGCGCGGUCGUGCUGAACAGUGGAAUCCAGGGCUUCAUUCAUGUUCUCAUGAUGCAUCUUGCAUUUUUUGGGGGACCAUACCGAACUAUAUUGUAGUGUAAUUGUACAAAUUGACCCCCCUCUCCCCGCCCCCCACCCCCAACUGCCGCUGGUGUCUGUUCGUUGCCAAAAAAAGAUUUGUACAUACAUGUUUUUAGGCUUCAUUAUUAUUACUGUAUGUAUUUAUAGCAUCAAUUUAUUCAUUUUUGACUUGAGAAGCAUAUUUAAUGAUGUUUAAUUUCAUUAUGUCAAAAAAUAUGGUUUAAUUUUUGCACACACUAAUUUGAUCACCUAUUACAUGUUUUUAAAGGGCAUUUAUUCCAAUUUAGGAACUUACAGCUUAAGAGCACAUUGUGUUCAGAAACACGAAACUACCUGCACUGGUAUUGCUAGUUGUUUAUUGUUGAAUGGCUUGGAUUUUGUUUCUAUGGGAGAGUUAUCUUUUCAUGAUCAACGUCCUGGCUCCUGAGGAGGUAUUCUUUUUGGUAAUUGUUUUGCUCAUUUUUUGUGACACAUUUGGUGGCCCUUUUCUAAAGCCUGGUGUUGGCUCAGUGGUUAAGCCUGUAUCUCACUGGGCUGCGACAGCUCGCGACAAAAUGCGAACGGGAUUCUCCAAAAUGUCUGGAAACAUUCGCGGUGGUUCUCAAUCUCCUCGCGUGAGUUACUCUGGUGUCGCUGGAAUUUUGAACAUGUUCAAAAAAUUUGUGCGACAAAUUUUAUCUCAAAAUAGUCACAGAGUCGUCGCGGUUGUCUCGAACCGGUCUCGAGCCCUUCUC
ensembl:lincRNA